UAGCCGUAAACGAUACUCGCUAGGUGUCGGCCACGGUGCGACCGUUGUCGGUGCCGUAGGGAAGCCGUGAAGCGAGCCACCUGGGAAGUACGGUCGCAAGGCUGAAACUUAAAGGAAUUGGCGGGGGAGCACUACAACGGGUGGAGCCUGCGGUUUAAUCGGACUCAACGCCGGGAAUCUCACCGGAUAAGACAGCUGAAUGAUAGUCGGGAUGAAGACUCUACUUGACUAGCUGAGAGGUGGUGCAUGGCGUAGUCGUGU
rnacentral:rRNA from 1 species